UACGUAGGGUGCGAGCGUUGUCCGGAUUUAUUGGGCGUAAAGAGCUCGUAGGUGGUUCGGUAAGUCGGAUGUGAAAUCUCCAGGCUCAACCUGGAGGGGUCAUUCGAUACUGCCGUGACUAGAGUUCGGUAGGGGAGACUGGAAUUCCUGGUGUAGCGGUGAAAUGCGCAGAUAUCAGGAGGAACACCGGUGGCGAAGGCGGGUCUCUGGGCCGAUACUGACGCUGAGGAGCGAAAGCGUGGGGAGCGAACAGG
rnacentral:rRNA from 1 species